GUGAAAUGGAAAUUGGAAAUUCCCCUUUAAAUUAAUAAGAUCACUCAAAUAAAUAGGUUCAGUUCAAAUCUCGGUCAUGACCGUUCUAUAUCUCCUGAGUGUUCUUGGCCUAGCAUUCCAGGAACUAGCCAUUCCUAGGUCACGUUGACAUGGAGGGUUGGCUCCUCUCCUUGUGAGACGUGAUGUUAUUAAAAAACAAAAUACCAAGCCUCAGGCGGAUGGGAGCGUGGCUAAGGUCAGAUGUGUAUUGGACAAACCAUGAAUAGCGCAAGCAUCAAAAAGGGCUUCUUGGCCCCAAGCCUUCUUUGUUUAGAACAAUAUAAAAACACUGCGUCCUGUAAGCCCGCUGAGCCUCACCCGGGAAGGACGCUUCGCCCGGGAAAAUCUUUACACAAUUCAAGUUUGUACUGGCUGCAACGGGGCUCCCAGCCAUUGAUUGACUUUGGAGGUUCCCUUGAAUUGAUGCCCAUGUGAAUCAAGAUUCUGUGGAACUGUUUUACAGUGUUUGCCUGCUAUACGCUAACUAUGGCAUGAACUCCAGGUAUUCCAGUGGGAAAUCCUCAGCAAGGACCGCGUACUGAUUCCAUCUACGGUGGUGAAAACAACACCCAGAUCAUGAAUUGGUCAUACCCAUUCAACGUAGAAGUUUGGGACGCCCCUUUAUUUCCCCUAAUGAGA
rnacentral:lncRNA from 1 species